rnacentral:misc_RNA from 1 species
AGGUGAACCUGCGGAAGGAUCAUUAGUGAAUUAAACAUGCUUGGUGUCUUCGCUUCGGCAAGGCCCUUGCUUAACUCACAUCCCAACACCUGUGGACUGUAAGGCGCAUGACUAGGUUCGCCCAGUCAUCGUCUGCCCUUUUUAACAAACAAUUAAUGUAACAAACGUAGUCUUAUUAUAACCUAAUAAAGCUUUCAACAACGGAUCUCUUGGCUCUCG